CAUUUACUUCUCAUCCUGGUGACCUUCCCUCUGCCAGGUUGUAGCUCCAGGGACGCGAGUGGAGCUGGGGAUCUAUAAGGAUGUUUCCACAGCAAGGAACCAUGGAGGCUGCCAGCUCCUCUAACCCAAGAACUCUAUAUUGAUGGCUAUCAUACUCGCAUGGCCGAAGCACCCACAGCCCCACCAUCCAAGGCCUGGUGAAAACAUCCUGACCUUUCCUUAUCAGCAAGCUCUCAGUGACAUCAAGGCAGCUUGGCUGAAGUUGAGCUCUUUACUCCAGCAUUAAUCUGUGCUGUUCUCAUCUUAUCUGAAAAGUUGUUAAGCAGAUUUUCCAUCUCCAUUUGUGGUUUUGACACUGGUACAACAGAGGUGUCUCUUCCCACAGUAUACUUGUGACUCUUAAUAUUGCACUGUCUGCUUACCAGCUCAGAAGACAAAGUCC